AGCAGCCGCGGUAAUUCCAGCUCCAAUAGCGUAUAUUAAAGUUGUUGCAGUUAAAAAGCUCGUAGCUGAAUUUCGGGGUUAGUAGGCUGGUCGUGCCACUGGUAUGUACUGGUCUUACUGACUUCUCCUUUCUGAAGAACUGUAAUGCCAUUAAUUUGGUGUUGCAGGGAAUCAGGACUGUUACUUUGAAAAAAUUAGAGUGUUUAAAGCAGGCUAACGCUUGAAUACAUUAGCAUGGAAUAAUAAAAUAGGACGGUGGUCCUGUUUUGUUGGUUUCUGAAUCACCAUAAUGAUUAAUAGGGAUAGUUGGGGGCAUUUGUAUUCAAUUGUCAGAGGUGAAAUUCUUGGAUUUAG
rnacentral:rRNA from 1 species